GAAAAAUAUUAUGGAAAAUAUUCUUGACAAUAUUUCUAUCUUUAACACUUAACAUGCAUAAUAUUAUGGACACUCAGUUAGCUUCAAGCACAUGUGGUGAGGAAGUGAAUCAAUUUUAAUGAAACAUGUUUAUGUGCACCUCGAUUUGCUAUUCUGUUAUUCCAUCUAAUCUUGCAGUUGUUAAUUUUCUUGGUCAUUCUCUAGUUCUUCAAAAUGUUGUUAUAUGCUGUACUUUUUAUAACAACUUUCAAGAAUAUAAUAUAUUAUUAUAUGGUGUUCCUGUAUUUUUUUUCUAACAAACCAGUACCUUUAUUUAUAUUACCCAUAAACAUGAACAGUCUUAACUGCUGUAGGUAUGGUAUUCAAUGUUAAAUCCUAACCACCGAGCAAAACAUGUCGCUGCCUCCUCUUCUCUAAGGUUAACUUACUUAUAUUUCUCAAUUGUUUCAGUUUCCUUAAAAGCUUUUUGGAUGUCCAUUUCUUUGAGACGUACAUGUUUAAUGAUGAAAGAACAUCUGUUAUGUAAAACUUUCUCCAGAAUAUAAUAUAUUUAAAAACCCAACUAUCCAUUAACUCAACAAAUAGUUGUGACAUUAUGUACAAAAUUGUUGUUAUAAUAAGUCAUAUUACAUUUCCAAAUGCACUUGUCUGAAUGUGACGGUUCAUCAUGGUUGGAUCCUUGUUUGGUGCUGAAAACCCGGCUCAAUUUUAGUUUAGUAGUAGGAUUGAGAGUCAUUUAGCCUCCAUUUGGCAAGCUUUAUAAAUUAAUUUGUAAAUGGUCAAAUUUUAUUUUUAACCACACAUUUUAAUGGAUAACCACUCUAUCUAUUUAUAUACUCCCUCCAUCUCAUUUAUAUAGGUUGACUUUUUUAUUUUUUUGUUCCAAUUAUAUAGUUAUUUUUUUUAUUGAGAAUGUUUUGUUUAGUUUGUCUACUAAUAUGCUCUUAUUCAAUUUGCUUAGUUAUAACCAAUUUUUUUUACCUAAUCUUGAAAUUGUACAAAUAAAGGUAAAAAUUGCCUUUUUAAUAACAUUCAAUAAGAUUUCUUAAUUCGUGGGAAAAACAAUACCAACCUAUAUAAAUGCUAUAGGAGUGUCAAAUUGUGUAUAAAUUCUUUCCAAACGGCCUAUUUGUUCUAUAAGCUCUAACUUGAGAGGUCCUCAUUACCACUGAAUAAGCAAUGCAACAAUGACACGAGUAACUAGUAUUUCCAAUACUCUUAAGUGAUUGUUAACAAAAAAAAUUCACAGAAUGAAAAUAUUAUCAUUCAAUGAGAUAAUUUUGGUGCAUGCACGUAAUUUGAUUUUUAUCUUUGGAACAUGCACGGCAAAAUAACUAAAUGAGCAACACACAGGUCUUGGCCACACACAGACCAGCCAAAAGUUGCAACAAGACUUAACUGAAUUUUCGUCGUUAUACACCUGGAACAGACGUUCAAUAUUCCUGGAAUGGACACUCAGUUAGCUUCAAGCACAUGUGGUAAGGAAGUGAAUCAAUUUUAAUGAAACUAUGUUUAUGUGCACCUCGAUUUGCUAUUUUGUUAUUCCAUCUAAUCUUGCAGUUGUUAAUUUUCUUGGUCAUUCUCUAGUUCUUCAAAAUGUUAUAUGCUGUACUUUUUAUAACAACUUUCAAGAAUAUAAUAUAUUAUUAUAUGGUGCUCCUGUAUUUUUUUUAUUACAAACCAGUACCUUUAUUUUAUAUUACCCAUAAACAUGAACAAUCUCAAUUGCUGUAGGUAUGGUAUUCAAUGUCAAAUCCUAACUACCAAGCAAAACAUGUCGCUGGCACCUCUUCUCUAAUGUUAAUUUACUUAAAUUUCUCAAUUGUUUCUGGUUCCUUAAAAGCUUUUUGGAUGCCCACUUCUUUGAGACGUACACCUUUAACGAUGAAAGAACAUCUGUUAUGUAAAACUUUUUCCAGUAUAUAAUAUUUUUAAAAAC
rnacentral:lncRNA from 1 species